CGGCGCACGGGUGCGUAACGCGUAUGCAACCUACCUUUUACUGGGGGAUAGCCCGGAGAAAUUCGGAUUAAUACCUCAUAGUAUCUAUUAAUGGCAUCAUUUGAUAGAUUAAAGUUUCGGCGGUAAAAGAUGGGCAUGCGUCCUAUUAGCUAGAUGGUAAGGUAACGGCUUACCAUGGCUACGAUAGGUAGGGGGCCUGAGAGGGUAGUCCCCCACACUGGUACUGAGACACGGACCAGACUCC
rnacentral:rRNA from 1 species